rnacentral:rRNA from 1 species
UUUCCGUAGGUGAACCUGCGGAAGGAUCAUUAUUGAAUAAACUUGAUGGGUUGUUGCUGGCCUCUUGAGGCAUGUGCACACCUGUCUUGACUUUACUCAUCCACCUGUGCACUUGUUGUAGUCCUUUACUCUAUGUCCUUUUGUCAUAUACCAUGUAGUAUGUUGYCAGAAUGUAUUUGGUGGGCCYUUUUGGUCAGCUCCUCUGAAAUACAUUAGUGGAACGGUUUGUGAUCUGCUGCAGGUGUGAUAAUUAAUCUAUGCCGAGUGGGUGACUCUCUGUUGUGUUCUGCUGCCAACUGUCUGUGAAGACAACUAGUUACUGAAUAUUUGACCUCAAAUCAGGUAGGAUUACCCGCUGAACUUAA